rnacentral:antisense_RNA from 1 species
GUGGCGGUGUAGUCCCAGUUGGCGUCGGCGUCCAACAGGGCGUUCUCGCCGAAGCGGUCUCCGUCGGCGAGGACGGCCACGGCGACCUCGUCGCCGUACUUGCCGACCGAGGUCUGGCUGAUCCGGCCAUGGGCGAUCAGGUGGAUCCGGUCGGCGGGGUCACCGCGCUCGACCAGGACCUCACCGGGCCGGAAGUCGCGCUGGACGCACCGGCCGGCGAUCGCGGUCAGCACCUCCUCGUUCUCGAAGCCGCGCAGCAGGGCCAGUUCGCCGAGCUCCCGCGGGAUCACCCGGACGUCGCCGCCGUUCUGGAUGAACUCGAUGCGUCCGUCGCCGACGGUGUAGCUGAGCCGGCGGUUCACCCGGUAGGUACCGCCCUUGGUCUCCACCCAGGGCAGCAUCCGCAGCAGCCAGCGGGAGGUGAUCUCCUGCAUCUGCGGGGCGGACUUGGUCGUACUGGCAAGGUUGCGGGCGGCGGCCGUGCUCAGACUGGACUGCUGGUACGGCGCCG